GGGGGGAUGGCUGAGGAGUAAGCGGCAAGCUGUAAACUUGUUUACGGGAGAUUUCUCUCCCCUCA
rnacentral:tRNA from 1 species